AGGAGGCUCUUGCAGGGUCUAGCAAGCUAUUAACAUAGCAGGGGAUAAGAAAAUCUUAAUUAAACAGAACUUGCAAUAAAGAAAGCCUAAAUAGGGCUCUCUUUACAGGAAGUGUUUAUGGAAGGCUGUGCAAGUCACAUGCAGGGAGGUGUGACUAGGGUUCACAAACAAAGGGAUUUAACUCCUAAAUGGCAGAGGAUUGAGCAGUGAGGCUGCAGGGGCAUGUUCUAUACACCAAAACUGCU